rnacentral:rRNA from 1 species
GACGAACGCUGGCGGCGUGCCUAAUACAUGCAAGUAGAACGCUGAAGAGAGGAGCUUGCUCUUCUUGGAUGAGUUGCGAACGGGUGAGUAACGCGUAGGUAACCUGCCUUGUAGCGGGGGAUAACUAUUGGAAACGAUAGCUAAUACCGCAUAACAAUGGAUGACACAUGUCAUUUAUUUGAAAGGGGCAAUUGCUCCACUACAAGAUGGACCUGCGUUGUAUUAGCUAGUAGGUGAGGUAAUGGCUCACCUAGGCGACGAUACAUAGCCGACCUGAGAGGGUGAUCGGCCACACUGGGACUGAGACACGGCCCAGACUCCUACGGGAGGCAGCAGUAGGGAAUCUUCGGCAAUGGGGGCAACCCUGACCGAGCAACGCCGCGUGAGUGAAGAAGGUUUUCGGAUCGUAAAGCUCUGUUGUAAGUCAAGAACGGGUGUGAGAGUGGAAAGUUCACACUGUGACGGUAGCUUACCAGAAAGGGACGGCUAACUACGUGCCAGCAGCCGCGGUAAUACGUAGGUCCCGAGCGUUGUCCGGAUUUAUUGGGCGUAAGCGAGCGCAGGCGGUUUGAUAAGUCUGAAGUUAAAGGCUGUGGCUCAACCAUAGUUCGCUUUGGAAACUGUCAAACUUGAGUGCAGAAGGGGAGAGUGGAAUUCCAUGUGUAGCGGUGAAAUGCGUAGAUAUAUGGAGGAACACCGGUGGCGAAAGCGGCUCUCUGGUCUGUAACUGACGCUGAGGCUCGAAAGCGUGGGGAGCGAACAGGAUUAGAUACCCUGGUAGUCCACGCCGUAAACGAUGAGUGCUAGGUGUUGGAUCCUUUCCGGGAUUCAGUGCCAAAGCUAACGCAUUAAGCACUCCGCCUGGGGAGUACGACCGCAAGGUUGAAACUCAAAGGAAUUGACGGGGGCCCGCACAAGCGGUGGAGCAUGUGGUUUAAUUCGAAGCAACGCGAAGAACCUUACCAGGUCUUGACAUCCCGAUGCUAUUUCUAGAGAUAGAAAGUUACUUCGGUACAUCGGUGACAGGUGGUGCAUGGUUGUCGUCAGCUCGUGUCGUGAGAUGUUGGGUUAAGUCCCGCAACGAGCGCAACCCCUAUUGUUAGUUGCCAUCAUUCAGUUGGGCACUCUAGCGAGACUGCCGGUAAUAAACCGGAGGAAGGUGGGGAUGACGUCAAAUCAUCAUGCCCCUUAUGACCUGGGCUACACACGUGCUACAAUGGUUGGUACAACGAGUUGCGAGUCGGUGACGGCGAGCUAAUCUCUUAAAGCCAAUCUCAGUUCGGAUUGUAGGCUGCAACUCGCCUACAUGAAGUCGGAAUCGCUAGUAAUCGCGGAUCAGCACGCCGCGGUGAAUACGUUCCCGGGCCU